GCUACGUUUGGAAGGGAUAAGCGCUGAAAGCAUAUAAGCGCGAAACCCACCACAAGAUGAGAUUUCUUUUAAGGAUCGUGGGAGAUGACCACGUUGAUAGGCUAUAGAUGUAAAGGCAGUAAUGUCAUAGUCGAGUAGUACUAAUAAUCCGUAAGCUUAUGUACACCC
rnacentral:rRNA from 1 species